UACGGAAGGGGCUAGCGUUGGGCGGAAUUACUGGGCGUAAAGAGCGCGUAGGCGGCUUACCAAGUUGGGGGUGAAAUCCCGGAGCUCAACUCCGGAACUGCCUUCAAAACUGGUAGGCUCGAGUCCGGAAGAGGGGCGUGGAAUUGCCAGUGUAGAGGUGAAAUUCGUAGAUAUUGGGAAGAACACCGGUGGCGAAGGCGGCGCCCUGGUCCGGUACUGACGGUGAGGCGCGAAAGCGUGGGGAGCAAACAGG
rnacentral:rRNA from 1 species